rnacentral:tRNA from 1 species
GAGGUUGUGGCUCAGUGGUAGAGCGCUUGCCUAGCAUGUGUGAGGCCCUGGGUUCGAUUCUCAGCACCACA